AAUUAAUGAGCUUAUCUAAGCAUUUGUUUUGAAAACUUAAGAAAGAAAAAAAUUAUUCUAUUAAUUU
rnacentral:tRNA from 1 species